rnacentral:rRNA from 1 species
UACGUAGGGGGCAAGCGUUGUCCGGAUCUAUUGGGCGUAAAGAGCGUGUAGGCGGUUAGGUAGGUCCGUUGUGAAAACUCGAGGCUCAACCUCGAGACGCCGAUGGAAACCAUCUGACUAGAGUCCGGAAGAGGAGAGUGGAAUUCCUGGUGUAGCGGUGAAAUGCGCAGAUAUCAGGAAGAACACCCGUGGCGAAGGCGGCUCUCUGGGACGGUACUGACGCUGAGACGCGAAAGCGUGGGGAGCGAACAGG